CUUAUUCCAUCUUAACCUCCUACUAAUUGCUUACCAAAUUCUGUAAGUUUUACCUUUUAAAUACCUAUGUAAUAUUUUAGGCCCAUUUAACAUAGAUUUUGCUCCUGAAUUAAAAAAGGGUUGAGCUGGGACAGUGGUGUACACCUGUAAUCCCAAUGACUUGAGAGGCUGAGGCAGGAGAAUUGCAAGUUAGAGGCCAGCCUCAGCAACUUGACAAGACCCUGUUUCAAAAUAAAAAGGGUUGGGGAUGUAGCUCAGUGGUAAAGUGCCCAGUACUAACCCUUCUCAAGAAAAUGUGGGGAAUAAGGUUUUUGUAUUUGCUUCUAUUUUAAGACAGGGUUGUCAUUUUAAGACAUGUUGUCUAGGCUGACCUUGAACUCCUGGGUUCAAGCAAUUUUCCCAUUUCAGCCUCUCAAGUAACUGGGACUACAGGUGUAUACCACUACACCUGACCCUUCACAGGCACUUAAAGGAAACAAACAGAAACUGUUUGUAGCAUGCGUGGUACAGUCUUAACAGAGAAAACAGAUGUUGAAUAGAACACAGGGGUUAGCAAACUGUGGCCCAUAACUACAUUUUUAAGGGAUUAUAAAAAGUCAGACAAUAUAUGAUUCACAGAAAAAAUUUGCUGAUCUUUAGUACAUUAUUAAGAAAAUAACAGAAUCCAUUCUUUAUAAUAUAAUCAUUCUGCAUUACUAUAAGGGAUCCUAUGUAUUCUGGCCAUCAACACUCUUUCCAGUCUAAUUAUUUCUUGCUUGCUUGAACCUCAGUCACUUUGAUCUCUUUUCAGGUCUUCAAAUGCAUCAUUCUCUUUCUCACCUCCAAAGAGGUGGUUUGUGAUUUUGCCUAAAAUGUCAUUCUUAUCUUCACCUUGACCUUUGGAUUCUUUAUCUAAUUGCUUCCCUGUUUAUCCUUACCUAUUGGGCUAGGGGAAUCCUCUCUUCAUACUCUGUGACUCACCUUUGUCAUCUAUAAAAUUGGUCUAAUAAAGGGAUUAAAUGAUUUGUCAUUAUUCUCCUGGUCAUAUGUCCUGUGUUGAUUCUAAGCUGAUUUUUUCUUGGAAGUUAACUGUGAGAAGGCCCAGGUAGGGAGAGGAGGGAGAGAGGGGGCUGCAUUUUGAAGGCCUGGGUGCUGUGUGAGAUCACCCAGAGGACUCAAAAGUACUUUUUUGCUCUUGAAGAGAUGAUGUUAUGAACUGUGAUGAUAAAACUUGUGCAAAAGUGAGAAUCAGGCUCUUAUUGAUGGAAAUGAGGAAUGGGGGAUUGGGACAUAAAACUAAGAAUUUAGGGGGGGACAUAAUCUAGAUAAUUGGAACUUGACUAUUACUUUUUUACUCUAGAAGUGUUAUCUAAAUCUUUAUUUUAAAAGUUAGCUGUGCAGUCCCAAAGUUGGAUUGUUUAUAUGACUGGACUUGCAUGUUCUAUAACUCAUCAGUUAUGAUUCAAAAUUGUAAUACGUAAUUACAAACACACUGACUACUUAGAAAUAAAAUUAAAUGCGUGAAUAAACCAUAAUAUUUGAGGUGGCAAUUUGCAAGCUUAAACUAUGGAAAAAAUAGUAACUUAAAUUUAUAUAUUCAGUCUUGCCUAUUUGCAUGAACAUGUUUUUUGUUUUGUUUUUUUUUUGCUUCUAAUUACAGUGAAAUCUAUAGCUUUUUAUAAAGGAAUACGUGGGUUAGUGUUUAUAUAAUAUACUCAAGGUAGCAUGUAAAGAAAUGGACUGUGAUUAACUAGCAUGGAUUGCUUUUUAACGUGCUUGUUUUGUGUUUGUCUUUUUCUUCUAAUAUAAUAACCAGGGAUUAAUGAUCAAGUUCCAUCCCCAGAUGAGAGAUAAAGAAGGAAAAUUCUGUGAGCUGAUUUUAUUUUUAGCUUACUGCUGUCUGUCAGAAGAAAUGUGGUUCAUUGUUUGAAUUACUAAAGACAGCAAGAUGUUUGUAAAUUAUCUUACAAUAAACAACUUAAGAAAAUCA